rnacentral:tRNA from 1 species
AUGGAGUAGCGCACGUGGCAGCGCGGGGCGUUUGGGACGCUCAGGUUGCAGGUUCGAGGUCUGCACCUCAUACCA